GGGACACGUGGUAUCCUGUCUGAAUAUGGGGGGACCAUCCUCCAAGGCUAAAUACUCCUGACUGACCGAUAGUGAACCAGUACCGUGAGGGAAAGGCGAAAAGAACCCCGGCGAGGGGAGUGAAAAAGAACCUGAAACCGUGUACGUACAAGCAGUGGGAGCACCUUCGGGUGUGACUGCGUACCUUUUGUAUAAUGGGUCAGCGACUUAUAUUCUGUAGCAAGGUUAACCGUAUAGGGGAGCCGCAGGGAAACCGAGUCUUAACUGGGCGUUAAGUUGCAGGGUAUAGACCCGAAACCCGGUGAUCUAGCCAUGGGCAGGUUGAAGGUUGGGUAACACUAACUGGAGGACCGAACCGACUAAUGUUGAAAAAUUAGCGGAUGACUUGUGGCUGGGGGUGAAAGGCCAAUCAAACCGGGAGAUAGCUGGUUCUCCCCGAAAGCUAUUUAGGUAGCGCCUCGUGAAUUCAUCUUCGGGGGUAGAGCACUGUUUCGGCUAGGGGGUCAUCCCGACUUACCAACCCGAUGCAAACUACGAAUACCGAAGAAUGUUAUCACGGGAGACACACGGCGGGUGCUAACGUCCGUCGUGAAGAGGGAAACAACCCAGACCGCCAGCUAAGGUCCCAAAGUCAUGGUUAAGUGGGAAACGAUGUGGGAAGGCACAGACAGCCAGGAUGUUGGCUUAGAAGCAGCCAUCAUUUAAAGAAAGCGUAAUAGCUCACUGGUCGAGUCGGCCUGCGC
rnacentral:rRNA from 1 species